CUCAUUUCUCACGAGUUCCAGAAUAUUUUUUCAAUUUCUCUUCUUCAAGAUUCUUCCGGUUUCCUUUCUUCGUAUCAGAGAUUUCUUGACCUACGUUAAUGGCGGCUUCGUCCUCCUCUGGAGGUUCUUCUAUUCGUUUUCUGCAACUCUUAUUCCUCUUGUUCUGAAGCUUGAUCGGAACAAUUUCUUCAUCUGGCGUUCUCAAGUGUUGCCUGCGGUUCGCGCGCACGAUCUGGAAGGAUUUCUCACCGGUUCUCGCCUUCCUCUUCCUGAAUAUAUGCCUCUUCAAGCCGGCGAAGGAAGUUCAGCAUCUGAUGCGCCUCCUGGAUUUGGAUCUGUUCAAUUCCAUGUAAAUCCAGAAUAUAUUUUCUGGAUGUGUACAGAUCAAGGACUGAUGGCGUGGCUUCUUGCUUCGAUCUCGGAAUCGAUGCUCGGACAUGUUUGUCGCUGCACUACUCUCAUGAAAUUUGGAUGACUUUGGGGCAUCUUGCUUCUGGAAAUUCUCGUGCUCAUCUUCUUCAAUUGCGUUACUAGCUUCAAUCCGUGGAGAAAGGCUCGAUAUCGAUCAACGAUUACAUCCUCAAGGUGCGGAGUAUUGCUGAUAAUCUCACUGCAGCUGGUCAUGUUAUUUCUGACGAUGAUCUUAUCUUGUACAUUCUUAGAGGUUAGGAUCUAAAUAUGAUCCAGUUGUUGUCAAUUUAACUUCUCGUUAUGAGGCUAUUUCUCUCUCUGAAGUUCAAUUCUUGCUUCAAAGUUUUGAGAUGCGUCUUGAAUCUCUGUCUGCUACAGCCAAUAUUGACCUCAUUUAGUCCUCUGUAAAUGUUGUUACUAAUAACACUAGGAAGAAUUUUAAGAACUCUCAGUCUUUUGUUAAUGGUGGUCGUAAUGGUGGAAACUUUCAUUCUCGCGGCGGUCGUUGUGGACGCGGUCGCAGCAAUUCAAGCAAUUUACGUCCUAUUUUCCAAAUCUGUGGUAAAACUGGUCCUCUUGCUCCGAGGUGCUAUUCUUGUUUUGAUCAUAAUGUUCAAGGUCCUAAAAUCUCUUCGCAGCCUAACUGAGCUCCUCGGGCCUUUGUUGCUACUCCAACAACUGUCAAUGAUCCCUCGUGGUAUGUUGACAGUGGCACAACUGAUAAUGUGAUAGCUGAUCUUAACAAUCUGAGUCUCAGAUCUGAUUACAAUGGCAAAGACAAGCUGACUAUUGGACAAGAGUACAAAUCGGGUCCUUCUCAGAGGGAUACUUAAAGAUGGCCUUUAUCAGUGGAAGUUCUAAAGCAACCUGAAGAUUUUCUUUCAGCUACAGCAGUAUCUAGUUCCUCUGCUCGAAGUCUUUUGUUUCAGUUUUAUCUACUAGUACUCAUGAUGUUGCUGAUAAAUCUAUUGUUCAGAGGUGUUCUCCUUCAACUACUUUUUCAAAUAAGUUUGUAAUGACAUGUAGUGCUGGAGCUUCUCACAAUUGUAAUAUAAGCAGUUCUACACCUUUUGACAGCAGUAUUGUAAAUUUGUGGCAUAGACGACUUGGUCAUCCUUGUACAAAGGUCUUAAGUCAAGUUUGUAGACAUCUUGAUUUGUCAUCGAUUGAUGUACAUAAAGUGGAAUUUUGUGCUUCCUGUCAAUAGGGAAAAUCUCAUGGCCCUCCUUUUCCUUAUCUGAUUUUCAUGCUGGCAUGCCUUUGGAUCUUGUAUAUGGUGAUGUUUGGGGACCAGCACUGCUUUUAUCUGUUGAUGGCUUUCGUUAUUACAUUUACUUUGUUGACGAUCAUACUAGAUAUUCUUGGAUUUAUCCUCUUAAAACUAAAGGUGAUGCAGUGGAUGCCUUUCAGUUGUUUAAAAAUCAUGUUGAACGUUUCUUUGAUAGAAAAUUGAAGUGUUUGCAGACUGAUUGGGGUGGGGAGUUUAGAACUAUGUUGCCUAUUUUACAACAUUUAGGGAUUAUUUUUCGACACCCUUGUCCACACACUCAUCCUCAAAAUGGUAGAAUAGAACGAAAGCACAGACAUGUUGUGGAAAUGGGUUUAACCAUGCUGGCUCAAGCUGCAAUGCCAUUAAAGUUUUUGUGGCUUGCUUUUUCUGCAGCUGUUUUUCUUAUUAAUAGACUUCCUACUCCAGUUCUAAAAAAUAAGUGCCCUUUUGAGGUUGUUCAUCACUGUUCUCCUGAUUAUCAUUUUCUAAAAGUGUUUGGAGUGGCUUGUUAUCCUCAUCUACGUCCUUAUAAUAAGCAUAAGCUGGCUUUCAAGUCUUCAUUACGUGUUUUCUUAGGAUAUAGUUCCAGACAUAAAGGAUAUCUGUGUCUUCAUUCAUCUGGGCGUAUAUAUAUUGCAAGGAAUGUUAUUUUUGAUGAGAACCAUUUUCCUUUUGCUCGAGGUUUUCCGUCUCAAGUUUUGUCAGACUCUUCCACUAUAUCUUCUGGUUCACUAGACUCCUCUUUAGAUACUGGUUUUGUUGUCUCCUAUUUUACCUGCUGCUAUAUUCAGUCCUGAUUCUCCUGCUUUUGCUGCGUCACCUGCUCCAUCUGGUGCCUUGUCUAGUGCAGAAACUGCUGAUUCUGCUGCUGCUGUUGUCUCUGCUGAAGCUGUGUCUUUGCUGACGCUGUUGUUUCUGCUGCCAACUCUGACGCGCCUGCCACUGCUAUUUUGUCUCCCAUGGAGACUGAUUUUCCUACAAUAGGCGCGCCAGUUGUGUCUUCCACUGCUAUUUUGUCACCUGCCACUGCCACUGCUCCUCAUACUGAUUCUUCCUCAGCUCUUGUUUCUAGGAAGUUGCAAUUUCCUGAGUGUCCUUUAUGCACUAUGCAUACAGUUUGUCCUUUAUCGAUUCAUCCUAUGACUAUCAGAUCAAAAGUUAGUGUUUUUCAACCCAUGAGCUAUGUUGCUGCACAAGAUGAGACUGCUACUCUUGAACCAUCAUCUGUUUCUGCUGCACUCUUAGAUCCUAGGUGGAAAAGUGCCAUGACUGAUGAGUUUGAAGCCUUAAUUCGUAAUGGCACUUGGCAGCUGGUUCCUGACUCACCAGAGAUGCAUGUGGUUGACAACAAGUGGGUGUUUCGAGUCAAAGUAUAAUCCAGAUGGUACUGUUCAACGUUAUAAGGCAAGGUUGGUUGCUAAGGGUUUCCAACAAACUCCUGGUUUUGAUUACUUUGACACGAUUAGUCCUGUUAUUAAGUCUUCUACUAUUCGUGUUAUCUUGACUUUGGCUGUCUCAAAUGGUUGGGAUAUUCAGCAAAUUGAUGUGAAUAAUGCUUUUCUUAAUGGAGAUCUUAAGGAAACUGUUUUGUUGGCA